AACGAACGCUGGCGGCAUGCCUAACACAUGCAAGUCGAACGAGACCUUCGGGUCUAGUGGCGCACGGGUGCGUAACGCGUGGGAACCUGCCCUUAGGUUCGGAAUAACUCCCCGAAAGGGGUGCUAAUACCGGAUAAUUUCUUCGGACCAAAGAUUUAUCGCCUUUGGAUGGGCCCGCGUUGGAUUAGCUAGUUGGUAGGGUAAAAGCCUACCAAGGCGACGAUCCAUAGCUGGUCUGAGAGGAUGAUCAGCCACACUGGGACUGAGACACGGCCCAGACUCCUACGGGAGGCAGCAGUGGGGAAUAUUGGACAAUGGGAGAAAGCCUGAUCCAGCAAUGCCGCGUGAGUGAUGAAGGCCUUAGGGUUGUAAAGCUCUUUUACCCGGGAUGAUAAUGACAGUACCGGGAGAAUAAGCUCCGGCUAACUCCGUG
rnacentral:rRNA from 1 species